AACAAACCCUAUAUGUUUUUAUUUCCCUCUCUCUCUUCUCUAACGCAUCCCGCCUAUGGCUUUCAUUCAGCCGACAACCUCACUCUCAUCAUUUAGUGAAAAACAAGAAUACUCUUUCAAAGUUCCAUGAUUCUGAAGGUUGUGGUGUUAGAUUUACUCCAAUCAAGGCAGCGGCUGACUUAACCUCAAUUUAUGGGAAAAUUCUUUGUCUUGCUAUGUAUUUUGUGUCUUUGUUUUCAAGAAAUUGACGAGAUUAUGACAACAUGAGCAUAAGAAAUGAAAAAUUCAGCUUCUGCAAGAAGUCAAUUUGUUGAUGUAGCAGCCUAAGCAACUAGAUAUUUCAAAUAUACUGGUGACAAGCUUGACGACAUGGCUGUCACUGAUGAUAUAAUGAUUGAGGUGUAAGAUUUGAAAUCUAAUUCAAGGUCUUCCUCCUUCGAAUUGUAAGCACUUUUGAGUUCUCAAAUAAAUUGCAUGCAACUCUCUUGUUGAGGGGUUCACUUGCAUCUCUUAGUUUGUAUCUCAUAUAUACAUUUAAAAAUAAAAAUAUAUUAUGUGAUAGCUCAUAGUAUUAAUGAGUGGUGAUGACACAAAUGAUACUCUACAGUAAUACUUUUAAUAAUCAGCUAAUCCUUUUUGAAUUAGAAAGGGUGACAAACUAAAUAUUUUAAUUUUGUAUUUGUAACUUCAACUUAAACUUCACUAUGAUGAUCUAUGUUAAUUCACACCUAAGUUGUUGCAGUGAUUGGCAGGAUUACUUAUAAGUUAUAAGCUAUAUCUUACUGGUUCUGUCGCUUGUAGCAUGCCAUUUCAAUGACGUGACACGUGUGCUCUACUCGUUUUAUAACGACUUUUGAUUCUACAUAUACAUCCUACUUCUAUUCUUACAUUAAUCUUGGGCUUGAGUACUUCCAUGUUAUAUUAGUGAAAGUGAUAGUCUUCUUACUACUUUUUUUAUUUUCUUAAGGUUAAGCUCUAACAUUUGUUUUCUUGAACUGACCGGACACUAAAUAGGAACUAUGACAAAAUAGAUAUUUGGGGCCUUGCAGCUUAUAUAUAUACUUUUUUGUUGAAUGAGGCUUUUGGAUAAUUAUUUGAUUUUACUUUGAAAUAUACAGAUACUGAAUAAAGUCAACUAAUUCUCACAUAUGUCUUAUGGAUUGUGAUUCCCUUUAAAACUGAAGUUUGAAUCUAUAUUCUUUUAGUCCCUUUGCCUUCUCUAGUACAGAUAUAUUGGCAUAUUCAGCCAGAAAAUAUUCUAGUGAUCUUUUGCCUUUUCAGUUAUUAAUGACUUGGUCUUCUUCUACGAUGUUUCGUGGAAGUAACUCUUUUAUAAUAUCAAAUGAGUGAAUAGUUUUAAAUUUUGAUUUAACUUCUGCACUUAUUCAUUUUUGUCUCAACUAGCUCAAGAAUAAUAAGGACAAUUUUGUUGCAGAGUUUAAAUAAUAAAUCUAUCAUAUAGAGUUUUAUUGUUAUAAUGUAAUAGCACUAAAUGCCACUCAGCAUGCUACAUCAAGUAAAUUACUUGAUUUGAUAGUGUAUUUCCAUUUCUCUAAGAUGUAUGCAAGCAUUCUGAUUAUUUUUUCUUCCUCACUGUGCAAGUUUUAAGUAUUAAGUCACACAAAAAUUGUAAGACCAUCUCCUAGCUUCUCGUCAUUAUAGAAAAAUUUCUUUUUGAUGUACUUUAUGCAUAUAUAUCAGUGAUUGUCUUUGUCUAUAAAUUGGCUUGCUUAGUGUUAUUUGAGUUACUUAGAAAAGUUCUAUUUUUAUUAUGUGAGGAAAUACUUGUAACCCACAUGAUACAUUCAAGCCUGCUUUCUUUUUCAAAGAAGAAUUCAGUACAUAUGUUACUUUAACAAGAAUCAGGGACGUUGCUUUCUUUGGUUGAUGGCUGCAUCUGGAGAGUUUUAACUUCAAAUAUGAUUGGUGUUGUGUGGAUAACUGCAGUUCCAUGAUGAAAGUGGCCAUGUUCAUUCUCUAAAGAUCUUUUCCACUGCUUUUGAAGUAUAACUUUAGUCUGGUGAGACUCUUCAAAGGUUAGUUGAAAGCUAUAAUAUUUUGGUGAAUUUUUAAGCUGUAAGUUGGAUGAGGCUUUUGCUGCAACUUGAUCUGGUGCAAUUUAGCCAAUCUAUUUGGUGCGUAGAUGAAUCUUCAAGCUAGAAUUUCAUGUGGAAAACUUCCAAUAUGAUCAAGAACUGCAAAGAGAUACUUGUUGGGCUUCAAAUAACAUUAGAUUCAAUUGAUCUAUUUUUUCUCUUAUGUUGUUGAAACUAUGGAUGGAAUUUUUUUCCCUAUGGAUUCAAUGAAAUACACUACGAAUUUUAGGA